rnacentral:rRNA from 1 species
UACGGGGGGGGCAAGCGUUGUUCGGAAUUACUGGGCGUAAAGGGCGUGUAGGCGGCCAACUAAGUCCGACGUGAAAUCCCCAGGCUUAACCUGGGAACUGCGUCGGAUACUGGAUGGCUUGAAUCCGGGAGAGGGAUGCAGAAUUCCAGGUGUAGCGGUGAAAUGCGUAGAUAUCUGGAGGAACACCGGUGGCGAAGGCGGCAUCCUGGACCGGCAUUGACGCUGAGGCGCGAAAGCUAGGGGAGCAAACGGG